CGAGUUGGCCGGGCGACUGCGCGUCGUGGGAGUAAUCCCGCGGCACGAGGAAAGUCCGGACUUCACAGAGCAGGGUGAUUGCUAACGGCAAUCCGAGGUGACUCGCGGGACAGUGCCACAGAAAACAAACCGCCGCCACCGGGUCUUUCGGGAUUCGGCGGCGGUAAGGGUGAAACGGUGCGGUAAGAGCGCACCAGCGGACCGGGUGACCGGUUCGGCUCGGUAAACCCCACCCGAAGCAAGGCCAAAAGGCUGUGCGUGCACAGCUGCGGAAGCGUUCGAGGGCUGCUCGCCCGAGCUUCCGGGUAGGCCGCUCGAGGUACCCGGCGACGGUGUGCCCAGAUGGAUGGUCGUCGCCGCGUGGCCGGGGUAAUGCCCAGGUCAUGCGGAACAGGAUCCGGCUUACAGGCCAACUCGCCCG
rnacentral:RNase_P_RNA from 2 species